ACCUUUCAGGUUGCAGCUUGAUUAAUCCUUUGGGGUGAUUCAGGCUGAUGGCUGGUGACUUUUUGGUCACCAGCCU
rfam:Triticum urartu cultivar G1812 contig712073, whole genome shotgun sequence.